UAAUUGAAGAGUUUGAUCAUGGCUCAGAUUGAACGCUGGCGGCAGGCCUAACACAUGCAAGUCGAACGGUAGCAGGAAGUGCUUGCACUUCGCUGACGAGUGGCGGACGGGUGAGUAAUGCUUGGGAACUUGCCUUUAGGUGGGGGAUAACAGUUGGAAACGACUGCUAAUACCGCAUAAUGUCUACGGACCAAAGGGGGCUUCG
rnacentral:ncRNA from 1 species